rnacentral:rRNA from 1 species
GAUGAACGCUGGCGGCGUGCCUAAUACAUGCAAGUCGAGCGAAUGGAUUAAGAGCUUGCUCUUAUGAAGUUAGCGGCGGACGGGUGAGUAACACGUGGGUAACCUGCCCAUAAGGCUGGGAUAACUCCGGGAAACCGGGGCUAAUACCGGAUAACAUUUGAACCGCAUGGUUCGAACUUGAAAGGCGGCUCCGUCGUGCACUAUUGGAUGGACCCGCGUCGCAUUAGUUACUUGGUGAGGUAACGGCUCACCAAGGCAACGAUGCGUAGCCGACCUGAGAGGGUGAUCGGCCACACUGGGACUGAGACACGGCCCAGACUCCUACGGGAGGCAGCAGUAGGGAAUCUGCCGCAAUGGACGAAAGUCUGACGGAGCAACGCCGCGUGAGUGAUGAAGGCUUUCGGGUCGUAAAACUCUGUUGUUAGGGAAGAACAAGUGCUAGUUGAAUAAGCUGGCACCUUGACGGUACCUAACCAGAAAGCCACGGCUAACUACGUGCCAGCAGCCGCCGUAA